GUGCAGAGCGAGCGCGAGAAUGGAAGGCGAACUGCAGCUACCUUAUGUUCCUCCUAAACCACCAGUAAAAGGAAACAAGAAAAGAAAGACCGUGUUUGAAACUUCUACAACGAAAAACGUCUGGAUCAAGAGUGUGCUUAAAGCAGAAUUAACAUUGGCAUUGCUUUUCCACGCCGGAGGCAACUGUGGGACUCAAAGGGUCUGAAAAAUGACGCCAUGGUUGCUGUUUUUCUUUUGGACAGUUAUGAAAACACUGCAACAUCCACACCUUUGGUGCAUGGAUUCAUAAGGCCACCACCACCAACUGUUUCGACUAUUUCAUCAGUCUCUCCCAAAACAAACUGCAUAAGGAUCAGUCCAAUGCCUCCCCAUUAUUGUUGAUUUGGUGAGGGUCUAUCGAGCCAGCAAGCCAAUCUCUUCAGUGGAGCACAUCCAAGACAGUCCAUAUUCUCAAAUCACCACAAUGCCAGAUAUUAAGUGACAUUUUGCCUACGACCUGCAGGGAGUCUAGGAGCAGCCCAGAGAUCCCCAACAAAUGUGCCCUGAUCUGGAUAAUCCCCUACGCUUCCCUAACAAAUGGGUCCAAAGCUGUACAAAAACCCCAUGUAUAUACCUCCCAUGACUGUGGAUUUGGGCCUAACAUGCUGAGUCUACAUAGAGAGAUAUUGGAAGACAGUGUGAAUAGAGCCUGAAAUUCUAAUGGCGGAUGCACCAUUUCAGUGGUUUAAAUAUGAUUCCAAUUGUGUUUGGCAUUCUUCUGGAACCAUGCAAUCUUGUGUCCAUUGCAGAAAUAUAUAACGCUUUUUAGUGAUAUACAACAUUGACUCUUUCUAUUCUCUGCAGAGGUGAUUGUAUGACAUUGAACGUGUCUAGCUUUUCUCCUUUUAAUGAGCUCUUUUAUUUUCCCACCACCAAGCAUGUGAUUGAAUGAGUCCUGUCACAAAGGGUGACAUGCAAAUAUAAAAUUUCAUAGCACUGUCUAAAACACAUUGUAUCCAAUAAUUAAUUUUACACAUCUCUGGAAUUUAUGUUUUAUAUUUCUCUCUUAUAUGUGAGCAGUGAGCAAGAAUUGGUCUUGCCAUGUUGAAGACAACAUAUGCUACAAAUUAUUUGCAAGUAAUCAAUGCCUUUAAUAAGUAGGUAAAACCACAUUUGCUCACUGACUCAUUAAAGGCUCUUGAACAAAUAAUCUUUUCCCCUCUAAAUGAGGCCACUCCAGCUCAUCUUUAAACUUUUUUCUUUUAAUCUUGUUUAAUGUGUAAUGUUUGUCACCAUCAAUAAAUAAACAUAAAUCAGAGUUGAGUGGUGCUUCAGAAAGAGCUAAUUCAUUAUUUACAUGACUGUCUGAAUAAAACAUGCACUAAAUGGUUUUAUCAGCUUCAC